AUUGAACGCUGGCGGCAUGCCUUACACAUGCAAGUCGAACGGUAACAGGUCUUCGGACGCUGACGAGUGGCGAACGGGUGAGUAAUACAUCGGAACAUGCCCAGUCGUGGGGGAUAAGUACUCGAAAGGGUAGCUAAUACCGCAUACGAUCUGAGGACGAAAGCGGGGGACCUUCGGGCCUCGCGCGAGUGGAGCGGCCGAUGGCAGAUUAGGUAGUUGGUGGGAUAAAAGCUUACCAAGCCGACGAUCUGUAGCUGGUCUGAGAGGACGACCAGCCAGACUGGGACUGAGACACGGGCCAGACUCCUACGGGAGGCAGCAGUGGGGAAUUUUGGACAAUGGGCGAAAGCCUGAUCCAGCAAUGCCGCGUGCAGGAUGAAGGCCUUCGGGUUGUAAACUGCUUUUGUACGGAACGAAAAAGUCUCCUCUAAUACAGGAGGCCCAUGACGGUACCGUAAGAAUAAGCACCGGCUAACUACGUGCCAGCAGCCGCCGUAA
rnacentral:rRNA from 1 species